GAUGAACGCUGGCGGCGUGCCUAAUACAUGCAAGUCGAGCGAACGGACGAGAAGCUUGCUUCUCUGAUGUUAGCGGCGGACGGGUGAGUAACACGUGGAUAACCUACCUAUAAGACUGGGAUAACUUCGGGAAACCGGAGCUAAUGCCGGAUAAUAUUUUGAACCGCAUGGUUCAAAAGUGAAAGACGGUCUUGCUGUCACUUAUAGAUGGAUCCGCGCUGCAUUAGCUAGUUGGUAAGGUAACGGCUUACCAAGGCAACGAUGCAUAGCCGACCUGAGAGGGUGAUCGGCCACACUGGAACUGAGACACGGUCCAGACUCCUACGGGAGGCAGCAGUAGGGAAUCUUCCGCAAUGGGCGAAAGCCUGACGGAGCAACGCCGAGUGAGUGAUGAAGGUCUUCGGAUCGUAAAACUCUGUUAUUAGGGAAGAACAUAUGUGUAAGUAACUGUGCACAUCUUGACGGUACCUAAUCAGAAAGCCACGGCUAACUACGUG
rnacentral:rRNA from 1 species